rnacentral:rRNA from 1 species
UACCAGCACCCCGAGUGGUCGGGACGAUUAUUGGGCUUAAAGCAUCCGUAGCCGGUCCUACAAGUCUUCCGUUAAAUCCACCUGCUCAACAGAUGGGCUGCGGAAGAUACUAUAGGGCUAGGAGGCGGGAGAGGCAAGCGGUACUCAGUGGGUAGGGGUAAAAUCCUCUGAUCCAUUGAAGACCACCAGUGGCGAAGGCGGCUUGCCAGAACGCGCUCGACGGUGAGGGAUGAAAGCUGGGGGAGCAAACCGG